GACGUAGGGCGCGAGCGUUGUCCGGAUUUAUUGGGCGUAAAGAGCUCGUAGGCGGUUUGUCGCGUCUGCCCGUGAAAGUCCGGGGCUCAACUCCGGAUCUGCGGUGGGUACGGGCAGACUAGAGUGAUGUAGGGGAGACUGGAAUUCCUGGUGUAGCGGUGAAAUGCGUAGAUAUCAGGAGGAACACCGGUGGCGAAAGGCGCUCAUCUGGCCCAAUACUGACGUGAGGCGCGAAAGCUAGGGGAGCAAACAGG
rnacentral:rRNA from 1 species